rnacentral:rRNA from 1 species
CCCGUAAUCGGAAUGAGUACACUUUAAAUCCUUUAACAAGGAUCCAUUGGAGGGCAAGUCUGGUGCCAGCAGCCGCGGUAAUUCCAGCUCCAAUAGCGUAUAUUAAAGUUGUUGCGGUUAAAAAGCUCGUAGUUGGUUCUGCGUGCCGCGCUGUCGGUUCGCCGCCUGUCGGUGUAACUGGCAUGUCGCGGCAUGUCCUGUCGGUGGUGAACGGAGUCCACGAUGCUGCAUGGGCUUAAUAAGCCGAUGUUAGCGUCGUGUGUACUUCCGUUGACCGAUCUCUCCUACUUCGGUGCUCUUAAACGAGUGUCGAGGUAGGCCGACACGUUCACUUUGAACAAAUUAGAGUGCUUAAAGCAGGCUAAAAUAUCUGCCUGAAUAGUGGUGCAUGGAAUGAUAAAACAGGACCUCGGUUCUAUUUUGUUGGUUUUAGGAAUAUGAGGUAAUGAUCAAUGUGGACUGGCGGGGGCAUUCGUAUUGCGACGUUAGAGGUGAAAUUCUUGGAUCGUCGCAAGACGCACUAGAGCGAAAGCAUUUGCCAAGUAUGUCUUAAUUGAUCAAGAACGAAAGUUAGAGGUUCGAAGGCGAUCAGAUACCGCCCUAGUUCUAACCAUAAACGAUGCCAGCCAGCGAUCCGCCGAUGUUCCUUUAAUGA